AGUGAACGCUGGCGGUAGGCCUAACACAUGCAAGUCGAACGGCAGCACAGUAAGAGCUUGCUCUUACGGGUGGCGAGUGGCGGACGGGUGAGGUAUACAUCGGAAUCUACUUUUUCGUGGGGGAUAACGUAGGUAAACUUACGCUAAUACCGCAUACGACCUACGGGUGAAAGCAGGGGAUCUUCGGACCUUGCGCGAUUGAAUGAGCCGAUGUCGGAUUAGCUAGUUGGCGGGGUAAAGGCCCACCAAGGCGACGAUCCGUAGCUGGUCUGAGAGGAUGAUCAGCCACACUGGAACUGAGACACGGUCCAGACUCCUACGGGAGGCAGCAGUGGGGAAUAUUGGACAAUGGGCGCAAGCCUGAUCCAGCCAUACCGCGUGGGUGAAGAAGGCCUUCGGGUUGUAAAGCCCUUUUGUUGGGAAAGAAAAGCAGCAGGUUAAUACCCCGCUGUUCUGACGGUACCCAAAGAAUAAGCACCGGCUAACUUCGUG
rnacentral:rRNA from 1 species